GAUUAAGUGGGGGCAUCCUUCAUUUACUAUCCCCCACAUUAACCUAUUUAAAUGCCCCAUUCAUCACUCGUCUACUGUUCCCGCUCCUGCUCCAGAUAUUUUUCUCUCUCUUAUUGCGUUCUUUGUUUCUCUUUUUCACCGUCCCUAGAUUCUGGUGGUUCAAUCUUCUUCGUCUCCUCCAACGUAACAGAUCUCAUAUUUAUUUUCUCGAAUUUCCUCGUUUUUCUUUGUUAUUUUAUUGAUUCAUCGAAAAAAUUCGCAGAUCGUUAUUUCUUUUUCGUUUUUAUUUAGGGUUUUCUUUAUUGUCUUUAAACGUGAAAGCUGAUUCGUUUUCCUUGAAGCAAUUUGUUGUUUGGGAUUUUUGCGAACUGUUAAUUUGUUUUGAUUCGGAAUUUGUUACUUAUGGCGGUUUAAAACUUUGUUUUGCAGUCACUUUUGUUUAAAAUCGUUUGGUUACUUAGAAAGUGAUUGAAAAAGAAAGCCAUAAGAUAAUUGUUCUGUUUGCUGAAAACGUUUCUACAAUAAUCUGUCUUUGACAUAUUUUCUCCUUGAACGAAACAUAUCUGUUUUUUUUCUCGAAUUUUCUCUUUUUCUUUGGUUAUUUUCUUGAUUCACCUAAAAAAUUCGCUGGUAGAUCGUUAUUUUUUUAUUGUUUGAGAUUUUAACGAUCUAUUAAUUUUUUGUUUGUUGGGAAUUUGUUACCGAUGGCGUUUUAAAACUUUGUUUUGCCGUGACUUUUGUUUACAAUCUGUUUGGUUACUUAGAAAGUGAUUGAAAAAGAAAGCCAUAAGAGAAUCUUUCUGUUUGUUGCAAAACGUUUCUACACUAAAUCGUUUUUGACAUAUUUUCUCCUUGAACGAAACAGAUCUCUCUUUUUUCUCGAACUUUUUCGUUUUUCUUUGGUUCGUUUCUUGAUUCACUUCAAAAUUUUGCAGUUAGAUCGAUUUUUCUUUUUUGUUUUUCGAUUUGAGUUUGCAUUCUCGUCUUUAAACGUGAAUGCUGAUUCGUUUUCGUGAAGUAAUUUGUUGUUUGAGAUUUUUAGGAUCUGUUAAUUUGUUUUGAUUCAGAAUAUGUUACUGAUGGCUGUUUAAAACUUUGUUUUGCAGUUACUUUUGUUUAAAAUCUGUCUGGUUACUGAAAAGUGAUCGAAGAAGAAAGCCAUAAGAGAAUAAUUUUGUUUGUUGAAAACGUUUCUAUACUAUUCCUUUCUUGACAUAUUUUCUCCUUAAACGAAACAGAUCUCUAUUUUUUUCUCGAACUUUCUCGUUUUUCUUUGGUUCUUUUCUCGAUUCACCUCAAAAAUUCGCAGCUAGAUCUUUUUUUUUUUUUUUUGAGUUUGCAUUCUAGUCUUUAACGUGAAUGCUGAUCGUUUUCUGUGAAGUAAUUUGUUGUUUGAGAUUUCUACGAACCGUUAAUAUGUAUUGAUUUGGAGUUUGUUAAUGAUGGCGGUUUAAAACUUUGUUUUGCAGUUACUUUUGUUUAAAAUCCGUGCGGUUACAGAGAAAAUAAUUGAAAAAGAAAGCCAUAAGAGAAUCGUUCUUUUUGUUGAAAAUGUUUCUACAAUAAUCCGUUUUUGACAUAUUUUCUCAAAUUUUCUCGGCUACGAAGUGGAGAAACGGAGUGUUUUAGGUCUACGGUAGAAAUACUGUUGUGAAAUCUAUAGCUAGCAUUUUCUUUCUCUUUAUUAAAUUUUCGAAAGAAUUAAUUGCCGUAGGAAUUUUGACAUUUUAAACUAUUUUCAGGUGACAUUAAGAGGGGGGAGAGUUUUAUACUCAAAGCUGAUUAGCUUUUGGUAUCCUGGUACUAUAAGAAAAAUAAAGAGAUGGAUCAACAUUAGAAUAUAACUAAACUUAAUUGAAAGGGUACCUUGGUCUCAUAUCGUUUUAUGAGCCAUUCUUUUUGUGUUGCUGAUCAUGGCAUCAGUUGUCUGUUUUCUAUGUAAUGAAGGAGAAAAAGGUGCGUACAGUUACUUCGUCUUGGUUUUAUCAUUGAAAAAUGAGUCGUAGUAAAACUACAAUGAGUUGAGUCUUUCCAGUACUUGUUGGUGAUGCUUGUAUAGUUCAUUGUUGUUUGUAGCUUCACCUAUCUAAAUAUUAAUACCUUUCUGAAGCACCCUGUUACUGUCAUUUUUGUUCCUGAGAUGACAACUAUAUUAAGUUUUUCCCUUAUCAAAAUUAACCAAAAUAAGUGUUAACUGUGAUCUCCAUUGUCAAUUAUUCUAAUACUGCAAAAAAGUGAACUACACACACAGAAUACAAUGUCCAAUUUCUCUUUUUUUAUAUUUAUUUUAUUUAUUACACAAUUGAUCUUUACAUAACUAGCUGGUCUUCUUGAUCAUCACACACAUUCUUAAGUUCAUUUGUUUAAUCAUUUCAAACUAAUUUCGAAUUGCUGAAUGAUCGGUGGUUUUAACGUACCACAUCUUACCAUGAGAAACAUAACUUUUGGAAGCAUGAGCUAUUUGUUGAUAGAAGUUGAGUGACAUCAAAUCCCACUUUAGUGCAUCUGGUUUUUCUAAUGCAAUUGCAGUCCGCUGCAGUUACCAUGAAAAAAGUUGGAGAUCAAAUUGUGUUAAUGGUAAUUGGUCUUUUAAUCGAAAUAUUCUACCAUACAGAGGAAAAUAUACCCCAAAUUUGUAGCUCUUGCUGGUGUCUUGUAGUUUUCUAGCCGUGGCUGGCUUAGCUGGAGAUGGACAGGUACAUGUGAGUCCUCCCCACUGCCUAGACGAUUUUCAAGAAGGGAGUCUUUGUAUGCACAAUUCACAUCCCUUGUUCCAUAAACCUGGGAUGUGAAACUUUUCUGUUAGAGGUUUUGAUUUUUAGAAUGUCACAUAACUGACAAAGGUUUAAUGGUUGAAUCUGUUUAAUCUUUCAAGGAUAAUUGAGAUUUUAUGAGCCAUUCAAAUUUAUACCUUCUUAUAUAAUUCCAUGUUUUCUUGACGAAUUAGGUUUACCUUCUUAUAGAGUUCCACAUUUUCAUGAUGAAUGAGGUUCCCCUGCAAUUAGACAAUAUAAUUUAGCCACUUGAGCUGAGACAGUAAUGUAGUAAGGAGCUGAAUUUAUUUUUUCAGGGUUUACCUUUCUGUUCAAUUCUUGAAUUUCAUCCAUUAAAGUUUGGUCCUGCAGUAGUGGAGAAAUGUUACUAACAUGGAGUUGCUUUCUUUUGCAUGCUAUUUUAAACUUAAAAAACUGAGUAUGAGAUGGAAAUGAGAAUUUCAAACCUUCUUCAUACGAACACCACGAAGACUCAUUUCUAAUUGGCUCUCCAAAUUCUGUAGAUCUUUUACACUCAUUCCAGAAAGUUCUUCACCCAUUAUUUGCCUGUUUUGGUGUUGCAGAAGCAUAAUUUUGGUCCAUGACAUUUGUAUGUUUGACAUUAAAAGCUUUUCUUAGGCAUAUACAUGAGACGCAAUGAUUCGUUAACUUUCUAUUCUUGGUGCCAUUUCUAGUGCUGAUUCAUUUGAUGCUGUAAGUUUAGAUAUGAAAUCUGCUUUUUGCAGAAUAGAAAUUAUUGUCUAGGACCAUUAAUCUCUGUGUUCAUCUUAAUUGAAGAAUGGAUGAUUCAUUCAAUCAGAUCUUCAAAAAUAUUAACCAUGCCAUGAAGGAUAGAACAUCAUUAGCAUAAUUGCAUUAUAAAAGGUUGGAAUAAAUAGUGAUAACAGGUUAAAGGAGAAAGAAACUCUUAUUUUAGAAAAUCAUGUUAUUGGGUGAAAAGCGGGAGGUUGUCUAUGUUGAAUUCAGACAUGUGGGCUUAAGCUGUAUUCUGAAGACUGCCUAAUGUAAAAAUGGUUUCUUGAUCCUACAACUUUGGCUUAUUUUUCUUUUCCAAUGAUGUUUGAUAUGAUGAUUUUGUAUUGUCAACAAAUCAACAUACCUGUGAUUUUCUUGCAGCUUUUGCAGUUGGUGUCUAAGAAUUGCUGCCUCCCUUUGCCAGAACUGAGUUCAUGAUGUGACUUGACAAUGCUCUGAGAUCUGAAUGACCGCUAAAAUCUUUGGCAGUUUACAACACAGUCAAAUAUCUCAAGAUCUUAAGAUCCAAGGUUUGUGCUAUAGAAAGUUGCAUUAUGAGUUCAAUUAAUGUGUUAGUGGAAGCAGGAAAUUUGAUAGUUUAAUUAUUUGGAUGAUAAGUAACUUUUCAAGUUCUUGGUGUACUUUCCAGAGUUAGGGACAUUCUUAGGUCUUGUUGCAGAUGCAUAAUUCUUUUUUUUUUUUUUAAUAUUGCCUUAUCAAGCAACUUUGCAAGUAAAAGUCGGCUGUUAGAGCCAGAACUUUUCAAAAUCCCAUGUGAAAUUUAUAUGCACCAAUAGAUGCUCUUUCUUCUGGAUAUUGCAAAAUACAAACUUUCUUUUGGUAAUAUGAUUUCUAUUUGGAGAUUGGAGAAUGCUUCUAGCUUUUUAUGUCACCAGUAAAAAGUUUAAAACCAUAAAAAGGGUGCAGAUGUGAAUUCCAAAGUUGAUAGAUCAUGGAAUUGGACUAGAAGCAAUGAAUGUCAACAUCUAUUUUGAAUUUGGAGCUGUCCAUGGUUAUGAUUUUUAAGAGGAAGUGUAUGCCUAUUUUGAAGCACAAAAGAGAUGAAGAGAUCGCAUCUGGAAAUUGAUAGUCUUCAGGAAAGGGUAAUUGUAAGGAUUUUCCUAUUUUUUAAGGUAACUGAUUGUUGAAACUUUAAUAGGCUAAGAGAUGAACAAACCCCUAAUUUUUGGAUUGCCUGAUCAAGCAACUUAUCAUGUAAAAUUAGGCUGUUUGAGCUAACAUUGUUUUAAUAUCGCAUCUAAAAUUUAUAUGCACCGAUAGAUGCUUUUUUCUUUUGGAUAUUGCAAAGUACAAACUUUCUUCCUGGAGUAAUAUGAUUUCUUUUUGGAGAUUGGAGAAGGCUUCUAGCUUUUAUUUAAAUCACCAGUAAAAAGUUUAAGAGCAUAAAAGAGGGGGAGAGAUGAAUUCCAAAGUAGAUAGAUCAUAGAUGAGUCUCUGGAUUUGGACUAGAAGAAAGGAAUGGUAAGGUGUAUUUUGCCCUUGGAAUAUGUUGUUGACUUUGGAGCUGUCUAUGAAUAUGGUUUGUUGGACACAGCUUUUGCCUAUUUUGAGGCAUAAAAGGGAUUGAAGAAAUUGGCUUCUUAAGAAAAUUGAUGAAGUCUUUAGGAAAGCUGUAAUUGUAAUAUUUUUUAAGGUAACUAAUUGUUGAAACAUUCACAGGCAAAGAGAUGAAAAUGCCCCUGAUUUUUAGAUUACCUGAUCCAGCGUCUUAGCUAGUAGGCUGUUACAGCUCAGAAUGCCAUGUGAAAUUUAUAUGCUCUGAUAGAUGCUCUUUCUUCUGGAUCUUGGACAGUUAAAAAUUUCUUGUUGGAGAAAUAUUGGUUUUAUUUGGAUAUUGGAGAAGGCUAGAUGAGUCUUUGGUUUUGGUCUAGAAACAAGGAAUUGCAAUGUUUAUUUUGCCCUUGGAAUAAGUAGUCGACUUUGGAGCUGUCCUUGAAUAUGAUUUGUUGGAAGCAGCUUUUGCCUGCUUUGAGACAUAAAAGAGAUGAAGAGAUGGCUGCUCAAGAAAAUUGAUGAAGUCUUUAGUAAAGGGGUAAUCAUAAUGAUUUUCCUAUUUUUUAAGGUAGUUCACUGAUGAUUUUUUAGAUUGCAUGGUCAAGCAACUUAGCAAGUAGGCUGUUAGAACUAACACCUUUUAAAAAUCCCAUGUGAAAUUUACAUGCACCAUAGAUACCUUUUCUUAUAGACAGUACAAAAUACAAACUUUCGUCUUGUGAGUAAAAUGAUUUUCUAUUCAGAGAUUGGAGAAUUCUAGCUUCUCUGUAUAUCACUGGUAAAAAGUUUAAAAGGGCAUAAAAGAGGUGGCUUUUUCCAAUUUUCAGGCAUUAAAGAGAUUUAAGAGAUGGCUGCUCAAGAAAAUUGAUUAAGCCUUUAGGAUAGGGGUAAUUGUAAUGAUUUUCCUAUGUUUUAAUGCAACUGCUUGUUGAGACGUUAAUGGGCAAAGAGAUUAAAACACCCCUAAUUUUUUAGAUUGCGUGAUCAAGCAACUUAGCCUGUAGGCUUUAAGAGCUAACAACUUUUCAAAAUGCCAUGUGAAAUUUAUAUGCACCAUGGAUUUUUUUUUUCUUCUGGAUGUUACAAAUUACAAACUUUUUUCUUAGAGUAAUAUGAUUUCUAUUUGGAGAUUGGAGAAAUCUAUCUUCUAUGUAUAUCACUGCUAAUAAGUUUAAAAGAUAAAGAGGUAGAGAUAUGAAUUCCGAAGUAGAGAGAUCAUGGGUGAUUCUGUGGAUUUGGCCUAGAAGCAAGCAAUGACAAGGUCUAUUUUUGAGGCAUAAAAGAGAUGAAGAGGUGGCUUCUCAAGAAAAUUAAGUCCUUAGGGAAAUGGGUAAUUGUAAGGAUUUUCCUAUUUUUUAAGGUAUCUGCUUGUUGAAUUGUUAAUAGACCCUAUUAGGGGAUCAGCUCGAACGAACUUAUAAUGAUAUAAACAGAAGAGAAAGAUAAAGUAGGUUUUAAGUGAUUUAAACACAAGGGAAAGAUAAAGAAAUUAUCUUAGCAUAGCUAGAAAUUAUCUCAUCAUGGUGUUUGUUUUUUAUUAGUUGCAAAAAAAUUUCUUGCUAAUUGUGCCUGUCUUUUACAAAUUACAUCGUACCAGAAAAAGGAGGAUUUUGGUGGGUAUAUGAUCAAAGAAAGAUUUAGUCGCAGCUUAAACAUAAAUUUGAGCAGGUACAUGGUUUAGCUUUUAUAAACAUUAUUGUAUAAUUUGAUGAGAUGCAUGAACCAAAGUUAAUUUAAAUGUUUCCUAGCCAUACUGUGGAAAAAGCGAAGUGUUGGGUUACUCAAAAUGAUUCCUAUUUACCAUGAUCUCACCAUUAGCUACUAAUCUGCUUCCUAGCAUUUGUCAUGUUGCUGAUGUACACCCUGUGCCCUCAUUUCUUUUCCUUGAUUUCCAAUUUCUAUCUUAUUCUUAUUCUUUCCAUCAUCCUGUAGCCAUGAGAACAACAGUCCUAGCAUGGCAAUUUAGUGCAUGCAUGCAAUUAGUCAUUCCUUUUCCAACACUCAGAAGAGUUAAUGGAAUGUAUCUAAAUCAAUUAUCAUUUCAGGUUCUAGUGCUGCCAAGUUAUUUUUAAUAGUUGCAUGAAAUGUAGACCUGAAAGAAAUGUCUAGCUACAAAUUUUUGCAAGCACUUCUGUGUCAGUACCUUCUACCCACUGCCAACCUGGAAAAAGUCUUGUUUGUUUCUCAACUGGUUCUAUUUUUUGUUCGGCUAAAACAGUAUAUGCAAAGUUGGGAAUGUUGAAUUUCUCAGAACAAAUUUCCAGGUAUGCAAGGUUUGGUAAAUCGAGUAGAGAUUUGUUUAGCCUUGCAGUGUCAUCUUUUCUUUAUCCAAUAGAAGCAAAUGCAAGCAAAUUCACUGAUAAUAAAACUACUUAUUGGUCAUGCUCUAAAGGGUAAAAUACAGGAAAUUUGAGGUUUUAAGUACCAGAGAAUACCUUGACCUCAGAGGUUGGGUUCCCCAGUUGAUGUUCCUCUGUUUUGUUGUAUCGCUCAAUUACUGAUCUCAUGCUGGCAAGAGAAGAUUUGAAUUGCAUCAGACUUUCUGUAAUUUCUAAGUGAUACAGGAGAGGAAAAAAAAAGGGACAAAAUGAUGAGCACAUAACUUUCAAAAUCUCCAAACAUGGGCUCUAGAUAAUUUUUUAUUUUCAACUUGACUGCUUUUGUUUUUUCUUUUAUCUCUCUUUAGAAUCUUCUUCUUUCCACGUUUAUUUAAAAUUGUUGUAUCUUACAAAGUUGUGAUUAUAUUAGUCAUGCACAGCUUCAUUCGAGAAAGACAAGCCAGCAAGUAAACAGAACAACUGAACUUACGAUCCUAAAAAUGCGAAGGGUUACAACAUGUGCAUCUAGAAAUGAAGGCAAAAGUUGCCACGAUGUUUCAACCAGCUAGGUAAUGUAUAUUUUUAUGAUCUCUUUCUACUCAUUUGAUAAGCUAUGGGACGCAGAUGAUAUGAGAGUGAAGAUUUUUUAGAUAAAUUUAGAUGCUUAUAUAAAUUUCUAAGAAAUUCGGGGUAACAAAACCUAGAAAGCCUCAUCAUGUUGAUAUAGUUUUGACAACAUUAAACAAUGAUUACGUUGAUGAUGAUAAUGACAAUGAUUUGGAAAGAGUUAAAACCUAAUGGAAAGCUGACAGAGAAGGGAAUAAAGAUGAUUCAAAAGAAGCCUAAGGGUUAUGAUUGUUGAAAUCGACACGAAGCAAGAUCCCACUAAUCUUUUGGUUUAUCUCGUUGUAAGCAUAAGAAGGUGAUAGAUUUUAUUUUUCGACUUGAUAAAUUGGUUGAUUAUAUAAUUAUGAAAAUCUAAUAUUCAUUAUUACUAGAUUAAUUGAUUGUUUAUUUUAGUUAAGUUUCUUAUUUUUAGAAUAAGGAGUGAUUUGGAUAAUUACACCAAUUUCAUUAGAUAUUUUUCCAUUGUGUGUAAAGAUUAGUUGUUUUUAAUGCAUGAAAAUCUUAAGUUUUAAGGCUGAGAAUAUUUAAUUUUUAGGUUAUA